GAUCAAAGUACUUUAACACUACCCACUAUCGCAAACUUGCUUUAAAGGUAAUUAGAUAUGGAAUAUCAGAUGAAGCAGCUGCCGCCGUAGCUAAUGCUCUACUUCAAGAUAUUGGUUAUCUACAUCUAAAUAAACCAAGUCUAUUGAAGAGAGAGAAAGAACGAGUAUGUUUUAAUGCUAAUUUUGAGCAAUCUAAAGUUUCAAAUAUAAAGGCAAUUUGUUUGGAUACCAAAUAUAAUAAAAACUCAUUGAUUUAUGAACAGAGAGAUAUUGAUGGUGAAAUAAAACUUUGUAAAUCUACGAGCACUGUAGACCACUUGACAUUCACAUUUGAAUCAGGCGAGUUGCAAGGUCAUAUCUUAAGCACAUAGUUGUACCUAAAGAAAAAGAUAAAGGAAAAGAUCUUGCUGAAUUUACCUGUGAUGUUCUCAAGGAGUUUAAGAGUGAUAAAAGUAUCCAGGGAAUAAUUUUGGACAAUACAAGUGUUAAUACAGGUAAAGAUAAUGGUUUAGUUGCUUGUCUUGAAAGAAUAUUAAAAAGAAGAAUUCAUAUAAUUGGCUGUCUUUUACAUGUUAACGAGUUACCAUUGUGCUAAACUUGAUAAUUCUUCUAAUAGCUCAAAUAGUUAUUCUGGACCAGUUGGAAAAUCUUUGACAAAUCCAAUUGAUUUAAAUUUAACU
rnacentral:lncRNA from 1 species